UGGUCCAUCACAGUAGUUUUCAUAUUCAUUUUCUUCCUCCACUCCCAUCCCUCCUUACAAAUUCAUCACUCAUCACUCUCUCAAUCAAUUAAUUCAUCGUACGUACUGCUAACUCAUGAUCAAGAUGAUUGUCGUUUUCAUAUCAUAAUAAACAAGUCCAUUCAUGCUUUUCCACAGCUUUCUUGAACUUCCUUCUGCUUCAAUUCUUGAUCCAUUUUACGUGAUCAAGAACACGGAUAGGGUCCAUUAUGUGAUCAGGAUCGAUCCCAUUUUUGCCUGAUCACGAGCAUGGCUCUCGAUCGGAGCUUAUAACUAAGUUCAGGAAAGCUGUGGGAGAACAUGAUGUUUCCGGGCUUUUUCUCCAUCGCCGACGGGCGGGCAGGGGGGCAAAAAAUUGCCCGGAGGGUUCUUCUCUUCAGGCAUUCAAAUGCAGCUAAUGUUUAGCUUUAUUCCAUGAUGUUAUGAUUUCAGAACUUUCGGAUCGGAGUGGUGAAAACUCAGAGGUUUUGCAGAGAAGAUUCUCUGCCCUUGUUUCCCUUUUUGUCAUCAAUAAUUGAUCAUAGUUCAUCUUGUU